rnacentral:rRNA from 1 species
ACAUACGACCAUCGGCAAAGUGCAGCACUGGCUCUCAUUGGAUCUCCAUACGUUAAGCCAUUGACCGGCGGAUUAGUAUUCAGGUGGGCGACCACUGACGAAUCCCAGCUGUUGUAUGUU